AGAGUUUGAUCAUGGCUCAGAACGUACGCUGGCGGCACGCCUAACACAUGCAAGUCGAACGAAGUAGCAAUACUUAGUGGCAGACGGGUGAGUAACAUGUAGGUAUCUGCCCUUUGGCCUGGAAUAACACGAGGAAACUUGUGCUAAUACCGGAUAAGUCUUUACGGAGAAAGCUUUAUGCACCAUUGGAUGAGCCUGCACUUGAUUAGUUUGUUGAUGGGGUAAUGGCCUACCAAGACUGUGAUCAAUAGCUGAUUUGAGAGGAUGAUCAGCCACAUUGGGACUGAGACACGGCCCAAACUCCUACGGGAGGCAGCAGUGGGGAAUCUUGCACAAUGGAGGAAACUCUGAUGCAGCGAUGCCGCGUGAGUGAAGAAGGCCCUUGGGUUGUAAAGCUCUUUCGUCGGGGAAGAAAAUGACUGUACCCGAAUAAGAAGGUCCGGCUAACUUCGUGCCAGCAGCCGCGGUAAUACGAAGGGACCUAGCGUAGUUCGGAAUUACUGGGCUUAAAGAGUUCGUAGGUGGUUGAAAAAGUUAGUGGUGAAAUCCCAGAGCUUAACUCUGGAACUGCCAUUAAAACUUUUCAGCUAGAGUAUGAUAGAGGAAAGCAGAAUUUCUAGUGUAGAGGUGAAAUUCGUAGAUAUUAGAAAGAAUACCAAUUGCGAAGGCAGCUUUCUGGAUCAUUACUGACACUGAGGAACGAAAGCAUGGGUAGCG
rnacentral:rRNA from 1 species